rnacentral:rRNA from 1 species
UACGAAGGGGGCGAGCGUUGUUCGGAUUUACUGGGCGUAAAGGGCGCGUAGGCGGCCCUCCUAGUCGCGUGUGAAAGCCCCGGGCUCAACCUGGGAAUUGCGCGCGAAACGGGGGGGCUUGAGUUCGGGAGAGGAGCGUGGAAUUCCCAGUGUAGAGGUGAAAUUCGUAGAUAUCUGGAGGAACACCGGUGGCGAAGGCGGCAUCCUGGACCGGUAUUGACGCUGAGGCGCGAAAGCUAGGGGAGCAAACAGG